UACGUAGGUGGCAAGCGUUGUCCGGAAUUAUUGGGCGUAAAGCGCGCGCAGGCGGUCCUUUAAGUCUGAUGUGAAAGCCCACGGCUCAACCGUGGAGGGUCAUUGGAAACUGGGGGACUUGAGUACAGAAGAGGAAAGCGGAAUUCCACGUGUAGCGGUGAAAUGCGUAGAGAUGUGGAGGAACACCAGUGGCGAAGGCGACUUUCUGGUCUGUAACUGACACUGAGGCGCGAAAGCGUGGGGAGCAAACAGG
rnacentral:rRNA from 1 species